rnacentral:rRNA from 1 species
UCAAGUAAGUAAGGGCGUACGGCGGAUGCCUUGGCCAUAUCAGCCGAAGAAGGACGCGAUAAGCUGCGAUAAGCUGCGGUGAGGUGCAAGUAACCUUUGACCCGCAGAUCUCCGAAUGGGGAAACCCGGCAGCAGUAGUGCUGUCAUCCUCUAUGAGGAAGGGCACCCGGUGAACUGAAACAUCUAAGUAGCCGGAGGAAAAGGAAUCAACAGAGAUACCCCUAGUAGCGGCGAGCGAACGGGGCAGAGCCCAAACCGGAAUGGGAAACCAAUCCGGGGUUGUGGACUGCUAUCAAAUGCAUGAGUGAAGCAGAAUGAGCUGGGAAGCUCAGCCAGAGAGAGUGAGAGCCUCGUAGGCGUAAGCAAGUGCAUGGAGCAGGAUCCGGAGUACCACGGGACACGAGAAACCCUGUGGGAAGCUGGGGGGACCACCCUCCAAGGCGAAACACUGAUAUGGACCGAUAGCGCAUAGUACCGUGAGGGAAAGGUGAAAAGAACCCCGGGAGGGGAAUGAAAGAGAACCUGAAACCGUAUGUCUACAAGCAGUCGAAGACCUUUAUAUGGUCGACGGCGUGCCUAUUGAAGAAUGAACCGGCGAGUUACUUCAGCUAGCGAGGUUAAGCAGAAAAUGCGGAGCCGCAGCGAAAGCGAGUCUGAACAGGGCGUAUAGUUAGUUGGAGUAGACCCGAAACCACAGUGAUCUACCCAUGUCCAGGUUGAAGCACAGGUAAAAAUGUGUGGAGGACCGAACCAGUGAGCGUUGAAAAGCUUUUGGAUGAGAUGUGGGUAGGGGUGAAAUGCCAAUCGAACGUGGAGAUAGCUGGUUCUCCCCGAAAUAGCUUUAGGGCUAGCCUCAUGGCGAGAGUACAGGCGGUAGAGCACUGAACGGGGUAGGGGCCUAUCCGGCUACUGAACCUAAUCAAACUGCGAAUGGCUGUACUUAUCCAUGGGAGUCAGACUGUGAGUAAUAAGGCCCAUAGUCAAGAGGGAAACAGCCCAGACCAACAGCUAAGGUCCCCAAUGCCGUACUAAGUGGCGAAGGAUGUGGAAUUUCGAAAACAACCAGGAUGUUGGCUCAGAAGCAGCCACCAUUAAAAGAGUGCGUAAUAGCUCACUGGUCGAGAGACUCUGCGCCGAAGAUGUCCGGGGCUAAAGUACGGAACCGAAGCUUUGGCAAUUAACAUAAGUUAAUUGGGUAGGGGAGCGUUCCUGCAUGGGAGAAGCCUGACCGGAAGGACAGGUGGACAGGCAGGAAGAGAGAAUGCCGGUAUGAGUAGCGAAAAGAAGGGUGAGAAUCCCUUCCACCGAAAGCCUAAGGGUUCCUGGGCAACGAUCGUCGUCCCAGGGUAAGUCGGGACCUAAUCCGAGGCGGAGACGCGUAGGAGAUGGACAACAGGUUGAAAUUCCUGUACUGGCUGAGGCCGUUUGAGCGAAGGAGUGACACAGGAAGGAAGGCGCGCGUGCGAUUGGAAGAGCACGUCCAAGCAGGUAGGUCGGGAGACAGGCAAAUCCGUUUCCCAUGAGGCCGAGAUGCGAUGGGGAGCUUCUGGAGACAGAAGCGAAGGGGCUGGCACUAAACUGUCGAGAAAAGCUUCUAGUGAGGACUCAGGCACCCGUACCGAAACCGACACAGGUAGGCAGGAUGAGAAUUCUAAGGUGCGCGGGAAAACCCUCGUUAAGGAACUCGGCAAAAUAUAUCCGUAACUUCGGGAAAAGGAUAACCCAGCGUACGUGAAGUGCAGAAGCGCAUGGAGCGGAGAUGGGUGGCAGAAGAGAGGCCCAAGCGACUGUUUACCACAAACACAGGCGUCUGCUAAAGCGAAAGCUGAUGUAUAGAUGCUGACACCUGCCCGGUGCUGGAAGGUUAAGAGGAAGUGUUAGCGCAAGCGAAGCAGUGAAUUGAAGCCCCAGUAAACGGCGGCCGUAACUAUAACGGUCCUAAGGUAGCGAAAUUCCUUGUCGGGUAAGUUCC